CAGUCGCCGCGGUAACACGUAGGUGGCAAGCGUUGUCCGGAAUUAUUGGGCGUAAAGGGCUCGCAGGCGGUUUCUUAAGUCUGAUGUGAAAGCCCCCGGCUCAACCGGGGAGGGUCAUUGGAAACUGGGAAACUUGAGUGCAGAAGAGGAGAGUGGAAUUCCACGUGUAGCGGUGAAAUGCGUAGAGAUGUGGAGGAACACCAGUGGCGAAGGCGACUCUCUGGUCUGUAACUGACGCUGAGGAGCGAAAGCGUGGGGAGCAAACAGGAUUAGAUACCCCUGUAGUCCCUGUCUCUUAUAC
rnacentral:rRNA from 1 species